rnacentral:rRNA from 1 species
GAGUUUGAUCCUGGCUCAGAGCGAACGCUGGCGGCAGGCUUAACACAUGCAAGUCGAACGGGCGUAGCAAUACGUCAGUGGCAGACGGGUGAGUAACGCGUGGGAACGUACCUUUUGGUUCGGAACAACUGAGGGAAACUUCAGCUAAUACCGGAUAAGCCCUUACGGGGAAAGAUUUAUCGCCGAAAGAUCGGCCCGCGUCUGAUUAGCUAGUUGGUGAGGUAAGAGCUCACCAAGGCGACGAUCAGUAGCUGGUCUGAGAGGAUGAUCAGCCACAUUGGGACUGAGACACGGCCCAAACUCCUACGGGAGGCAGCAGUGGGGAAUAUUGGACAAUGGGCGCAAGCCUGAUCCAGCCAUGCCGCGUGAGUGAUGAAGGCCCUAGGGUUGUAAAGCUCUUUUGUGCGGGAAGAUAAUGACGGCACCGCAAGAAUAAGCCCCGGCUAACUUCGUGCCAGCAGCCGCGGUAAUACGAAGGGGGCUAGCGUUGCUCGGAAUCACUGGGCGUAAAGGGUGCGUAGGCGGGUCUUUAAGUCGGGGGUGAAAUCCUGGAGCUCAACUCCAGAACUGCCUUUGAUACUGAGGAUCUUGAGUUCGGGAGAGGUGAGUGGAACUGCGAGUGUAGAGGUGAAAUUCGUAGAUAUUCGCAAGAACACCAGUGGCGAAGGCGGCUCACUGGCCCGAUACUGACGCUGAGGCACGAAAGCGUGGGGAGCAAACAGGGUUAGAUACCCUGGUAGUCCACGCCGUAAACGAUGAAUGCCAGCCGUUGGGGAGUUUACUCUUCAGUGGCGCAGCUAACGCUUUAAGCAUUCCGCCUGGGGAGUACGGUCGCAAGAUUAAAACUCAAAGGAAUUGACGGGGGCCCGCACAAGCGGUGGAGCAUGUGGUUUAAUUCGACGCAACGCGCAGAACCUUACCAGCCCUUGACAUGUCUAUGACCGGUACCAGAGAUGGAACCUUCCCUUCGGGGCAUAGAGCACAGGUGCUGCAUGGCUGUCGUCAGCUCGUGUCGUGAGAUAUUGGGUUAAGUCCCGCAACGAGCGCAACCCCCGUCCUUAGUUGCUACCAUUUAGUUGAGCACUCUAAGGAGACUGCCGGUGAUAAGCCGCGAGGAAGGUGGGGAUGACGUCAAGUCCUCAUGGCCCUUACGGGCUGGGCUACACACGUGCUACAAUGGCGGUGACAAUGGGACGCUAAGGAGCAAUCCUUCGCAAAUCUCAAAAAGCCGUCUCAGUUCGGAUUGGGCUCUGCAACUCGAGCCCAUGAAGUUGGAAUCGCUAGUAAUCGUGGAUCAGCAUGCCACGGUGAAUACGUUCCCGGGCCUUGUACACACCACCCGUCACACCAUGGGAGUUGGUUUUACCUGGAGGUAGUGCGCUAACCCGCAAGGGGGGCAGCUAACCACGGUAGGGUCAGCGACUGGGGUGAAGUCGUAACAAGGU